AACGAACGCUGGCGGCAUGCCUAACACAUGCAAGUCGAACGAGACCUUCGGGUCUAGUGGCGCACGGGUGCGUAACGCGUGGGAACCUGCCCUUAGGUUCGGAAUAACUCCCCGAAAGGGGUGCUAAUACCGGAUAAUGUCUUCGGACCAAAGAUUUAUCGCCCUUGGAUGGGCCCGCGUUGGAUUAGCUAGUUGGUAGGGUAAUAGCCUACCAAGGCGACGAUCCAUAGCUGGUCUGAGAGGAUGGUCAGCCACACUGGGACUGAGACACGGCCCAGACUCCUACGGGAGGCAGCAGUGGGGAAUAGUGGACAAUGGGCGAAAGCCUGAACCAGCAAUGCCGCGUGAGUUAUGAAGGCCUUAGGGUUGUAAAGCUCUUUUAACCGGGAUGAUAAUGACAGUACCGGGAGAAUAAGCCCCGGCUAACUCCGUG
rnacentral:rRNA from 1 species